ensembl:snRNA U6 U6 spliceosomal RNA
GUGCUUGCUUCGGCAGCACGUAUACUAACGUUGGAAUGCUACAGAGAAAAUUAGUGUGGUCCCUAUGCAAGGAUGACAUGCAACUUCAUGAAGUGUUGAAUAUUAGU